CGUCCACGACAUACGAGAUACCACUAUGCCCACACCGGCGCAGACGCACGACGAAACCAAACCACUAACCCCUAGCCGCCGCCGGCGGCCGCGGUGGUAAGCUCCGUGCCCGAACGCUGCGGCGAUUACCGAGAAGCUGUAGUCUACCAUGCAUGAAACAGAGCAUCUGAAGCAGAGACAUGUUCCAUCAUCAAUCCUUUGCUCGUGCGAUCAAUUCUCAUGUUCUUUUAAUAAUGUGGACAGGUGCAGUCCUGAUAUUUAUCCUUUCAUUUUGAUGAAAUUCAUUAACUGCUUGCAUCGAAUGAUUCCUCAUGUGAUGCACUCUAUCUGCUUUGUUUGGUGAGGCAUGGCUUUGGAAGGAUCUGGAUGCAGUGUAUAGAGGUCCUAAGUUAUGGGGCUAUGGUACCAAGCUUUCUGAAAGUUCCAGUGCAGCGCCUUGUGGGUGUCAUAUGAGAAUACAGAUUACUGGAUGUGCCCCCAUCGUGGAGAACAUCGAAACCUACCAGAGCACUAUGCUCUCUUCCUGUCUCGCCACAGGCUCCAACUGCUGCCGCGUUGCUUUGUCUUCUAGUAACUGCAUAAGCACAGGAUGCGCAUUUCAUUCUGCAACUUGCAAUUUUGCUCUGAUGCUGCUCCGUGACAAGAGCGUUGGCUAAUCAUGCCAGCCAUGACAGGUUCAAACUUGGAUGAUUCGUUACGGAGAUUGGGAUUCUGACGGCACCGGCUAGUACGCUGUUCGGGCCGCUGGCUCAUCGCCGGUAGCUCGAUCGGACCGGUCGGAGUUGGGAGGCUGAACACAAGCUGUCAGGGAAACUGAUUGUUCCUGGAAGCUGUUUGGCUGCCCCAGUCCCCGGCAUGAUUAUUGUUGUGCAGAACUGCAGAUAUUACUGUCCCUCUGUGAUCAUGUCCUCAGCCCGGAGACCGUGCAUGUACCCAUGGACUGAUGGACACCGUGCCAGAUACAGAUAAGAGAAAGGCACUCUGUUGAUUAGUUACUGCAACAGCCGCCA